CCUACGGGAGGCAGCAGUGGGGAAUAUUGGGCAAUGGGCGCAAGCCUGACCCAGCAACGCCGCGUGAAGGAAGAAGGCUCUCGGGUUGUAAACUUCUUUUAUCAGGGACGAAGCAAGUGACGGUACCUGAUGAAUAAGCCACGGCUAACUACGUGCCAGCAGCCGCGGUAAUACGUAGGUGGCAAGCGUUAUCCGGAUUUACUGGGUGUAAAGGGCGUGUAGGCGGGAAAGCAAGUCAGAUGUGAAAACCAUGGGCUCAACCUGUGGCCUGCCUUUGAAACUGGUGUUCUUGAGUACUGGAGAGGCAGACGGAAUUCCUAGUGUAGCGGUGAAAUGCGUAGAUAUUAGGAGGAACACCAGUGGCGAAGGCGGUCUGCUGGACAGCAACUGACGCUGAGGCGCGAAAGCGUGGGGAGCAAACAGGAUUAGAUACCCGGGUAGUC
rnacentral:rRNA from 1 species